rnacentral:rRNA from 1 species
ACGCUAGCUACAGGCUUAACACAUGCAAGUCGAGGGGAAACGGCAUUAAGUGCUUGCACUUUUUGGACGUCGACCGGCGCACGGGUGAGUAACGCGUAUCCAACCUUCCCAUGACUAAGGGAUAACCUGCCGAAAGGCAGACUAAUACCUUAUGGUCUUCACUGACGGCAUCAGAUGUGAAGUAAAGAUUUAUCGGUUAUGGAUGGGGAUGCGUCUGAUUAGCUUGUUGGCGGGGUAACGGCCCACCAAGGCAACGAUCAGUAGGGGUUCUGAGAGGAAGGUCCCCCACAUUGGAACUGAGACACGGUCCAAACUCCUACGGGAGGCAGCAGUGAGGAAUAUUGGUCAAUGGGCAAGAGCCUGAACCAGCCAAGUAGCGUGCAGGAUGACGGCCCUAUGGGUUGUAAACUGCUUUUGUAUGGGGAUAAAGUCAAUCACGUGUGAUUGUUUGCAGGUACCAUACGAAUAAGGACCGGCUAAUUCCGUGCCAGCAGCCGCGGUAAUACGGAAGGUCCGGGCGUUAUCCGGAUUUAUUGGGUUUAAAGGGAGCGUAGGCUGGAGAUUAAGUGUGUUGUGAAAUGUAGACGCUCAACGUCUGACUUGCAGCGCAUACUGGUUUCCUUGAGUACGCACAACGUUGGCGGAAUUCGUCGUGUAGCGGUGAAAUGCUUAGAUAUGACGAAGAACUCCGAUUGCGAAGGCAGCUGACGGGAGCGCAACUGACGCUGAAGCUCGAAGGUGCGGGUAUCGAACAGGAUUAGAUACCCUGGUAGUCCGCACAGUAAACGAUGGAUGCCCGCUGUUGGUACCUGGUAUCAGCGGCUAAGCGAAAGCAUUAAGCAUCCCACCUGGGGAGUACGCCGGCAACGGUGAAACUCAAAGGAAUUGACGGGGGCCCGCACA